GAUGAACGCUGGCGGCGUGCCUAAUACAUGCAAGUCGAGCGAACAGACGAGGAGCUUGCUCCUCUGACGUUAGCGGCGGACGGGUGAGUAACACGUGAAUAACCUACUAAUAUGACAUGACUACAUUCGGGAAACGGGAGUAAAUACCGGGAAAUAUUUUUACCUGAUGGGUUCAAGAAUGAAUGAGGGUUUUGCGAUGCAUUAUAGAUGGAUCCGCGCGUCAUUAGCGAGUUGGUAAGGUAACGGCUUACCAAGGAAACGAUGCGUAGCCGACCUGAGAGGGGGAACGGGCACACUGGAACUGAGACACGGUACAGACUCCGAGGGGAGGCAGCAGUAGGGAAUCUACGGCAAUGGGCGGAAGCCUGACGGAGCAGCGCCGCGUGGGUGAUGAAGGGCUGCGGAUCGGAAAACUCUGUUAUUAGUGAAGAACAAAUGUGUAAGUAACUAUGCACGUCUUGACGGUACCUAAUCAGAAAGCCACGGCUAACUACGUG
rnacentral:rRNA from 1 species